UACGGAGGGUGCAAGCGUUAUCCGGAUUCACUGGGUUUAAAGGGUGCGUAGGCGGUCAGGUAAGUCAGUGGUGAAAUCUCCGGGCUUAACCCGGAAACUGCCGUUGAUACUAUUUGUCUUGAAUAUAGUGGAGGUGAGCGGAAUAUGUCAUGUAGCGGUGAAAUGCUUAGAUAUGACAUAGAACAUCGAUUGCGAAGGCAGCUCGCUACACUAUUAUUGACACUGAGGCACGAAAGCGUGGGGAUCAAACAGG
rnacentral:rRNA from 1 species